rnacentral:misc_RNA from 1 species
GUUGCUAACUUUGCUUUCUGGUCUUUUACCAAAUGCAAAAUUGGAGACUUCUGUGCUUUCUAUAUGCCUUACAAUUUCCACAUUGCACUUCACUAUACCAUAUGGAUUUGGAGCUGCAGCAAGUACUCGAGUUUCUAAUGAACUAGGCGCUGGAAAUCCUCAUUCAGCUCGAUUGGCUGUGGUGGUGGCAAUUUGUCUUGCUGGAGCAGAGGCAGUGAUUGUAAGCACAAGUCUGUUUUUUUGCCGCCAUUUCUUAGGAUAUGCUUACAGCAACGACAAGCAGGUUGUGGAUUAUGUCUCAAUCAUGGCUCCACUAAUUUGCCUCUCUGUUAUUAUGGACAGUUUGCAAGCUGUCCUUUCUGGUGUUGCUAGAGGGUGCGGAUGGCAGCAUAUAGGAGCUUAUAUUAAUCUUGGCGCAUUUUACCUGUGUGGACUUCCAGUGGGUGCUGUGCUUGGCUUUGCUGCUCACUUAAGGGGAAAAGGACUUUGGAUUGGAAUAGUAGCUGGAUCAAUGGUGCAAUCAACUCUUCUUUCUCUUAUUACUGGCUCUACAAAUUGGAAAAAACAGGUAAACAGGGCAAGGGAGAGGAUUUUUCAGAGAUCUUCUAUGGAGAAUCAGGAAAACUGAGUAAUGAAUUUGCAUGACGUUCGCGUACAGUCAUUU